rnacentral:rRNA from 1 species
GAUCCUGGCUCAGGAUGAACGCUAGCUACAGGCUUAACACAUGCAAGUCGAGGGGAAACGAUAGAGAAAGCUUGCUUUUUCUAGGCGUCGACCGGCGCACGGGUGAGUAACGCGUAUCCAACCUGCCCACCACUUGGGGAUAACCUUGCGAAAGUAAGACUAAUACCCAAUGACGUCUCUAGAAGACAUCUGAAAGAGAUUAAAGAUUUAUCGGUGAUGGAUGGGGAUGCGUCUGAUUAGCUUGUUGGCGGGGUAACGGCCCACCAAGGCGACGAUCAGUAGGGGUUCUGAGAGGAAGGUCCCCCACAUUGGAACUGAGACACGGUCCAAACUCCUACGGGAGGCAGCAGUGAGGAAUAUUGGUCAAUGGACGAGAGUCUGAACCAGCCAAGUAGCGUGCAGGAUGACGGCCCUAUGGGUUGUAAACUGCUUUUAUAAGGGAAUAAAGUGAGUCUCGUGAGACUUUUUGCAUGUACCUUAUGAAUAAGGACCGGCUAAUUCCGUG